CACCACUUAGUAACACUAGCCAUGUAAACAGUUAACACUGCCCUACAUAUGUCAAGGUCAGAGGGCACCACUUAGUAACACCAGCCAUGUAAACAGUUAACACUGCCCUACAUAUGUCAAGGUCAGAGGGCACCACUUAGUAACACCAGCCAUGUAAACAGUUAACACUGCCCUACAUAUGUCAAGGUCAGAGGGCACCACUUAGUAACACCAGCCAUGUAAACAGUUAACACUGCCCUACAUAUGUCAAGG